AAAAACGUACGCUUUGCACCAGCAAGAAUAUUUUAAGGACAGACACAGAAGGACCCUAAAUCUUCAUCAGUUAUCGACCGAAAUAUUAAUACACAGUUUCAUGCCUUUAACGAUAAAACUCACAACUUUGCAUAUCGGCGGCGCCCGCAAAAUUUGCGGAGAAUUAGGGCUUCGAGCAAACAAAACAAUACAGAUUGGACGUUCGAAAGUAAACAAAUUUAAUGUGAAACAAUUGACGAAGACGGAAUAUAUCAAAACAAGAUGGCAAAAAAGGUUUUGGUACCGCAGCAUGACCACAGUCUAAGGAUAGGAACAAGAAAAAGGUCACUGCCUGGAAUCGAACUCGAAAUCUUGUGAGCUCCUUAUGGAAUUAGCUCAUUUCCAAAACUUGGGAGACGGAAAACAACAAAAGCUAUCCCUUCGUAUUUGCUUACAGAGAGGAGAAAAAAACACAUAAGCAAGUGCACAUAUAUACCUGGGUAUAUAAUGCUUCAGAGAAAGAGUGAUAGAGGUAUCAUCUCCAGGAACAGUGUAAUUCCUAUAGUCAUAAGAGGGGAAAAGUCUGCAAUGAACGCAUUUUAAAAACUUUUCUGGAUCAUGCACA